rnacentral:rRNA from 1 species
GUGGAUUAGUGGCGAACGGGUGAGUAACACGUGAGUAACCUGCCCCCCACUUUGGGAUAACUCCGAGAAAUCGGGGCUAAUACUGGAUACGACUAUGGCCCGCAUGGGUUGUGGUGGAAAGUUUUUCGGUGGGGGAUGGGCUCGCGGCCUAUCAGUUUGUUGGUGAGGUAGUGGCUCACCAAGGCGAUGACGGGUAGCCGGCCUGAGAGGGCGACCGGCCACACUGGGACUGAGACACGGCCCAGACUCC